GCUGAUUGUAACCUCAGUCUCCUGGGUUCAAGCAAUCUUCUGCCAUCGGCCUCCUCAGCAAUCAGCUGCCUUUGCUGCUUAUUCGCAUCGAUGGUGAAAGAGAUGUCAGGAGCACUUCUCUGCUGACUUGGCUGCUGUAAAAUAAGUAGUUGCUUUUCUGUGGAUCCGGAGCACAUCUGUGAGGUGGAAGACAGAACAGAAUUCUCUGGCAGGCAAAUACACAAAAGCUUUGAGAGGAGGCUUUCAGAGGAGGCCAUUGGAAGACCCUUUGUUCUGGGCAUCUUGAUGCAUUUGAGUAUGAAAACUUGGAACAAGCACGGAAGAGAGCUAAAUUUCUCUGCAUAGUAAGAGGGAAAAUAUUUAUGUUCCUAGGAAACAAUCUAGAGGCAUAUGUGAAGAGUGAAAAAAGAAGACAGAGGUUUCUGGAGAGACAACAAAGGCUGUGAGCCUCCCCACACCAGUCCUUGCCAACCCCAAACCUUCAGUGAAGUUAUUGGACACACCAACAUGAGUGGGCUCUUUGGUGGUCACUAGUGAAGGGACAGAGUUUCACUUGCAAUUUGAUAAAGGGGGAAAAAAGAACACAAUGUACAUAGAUAUUAGGGUAAGAGGAAUAACAGAUUAGAGGACAGUAACCCUAAGAUUCCCAAAGGUGGUGAAAAGGGUUUGAAUUGGUUUGAGCCAACUUUAUGUGAGCACUCAAGGGGCUAGGAAGUCCCAGCUGACAACUGGGUUAUCCAAAUGAGACAUACAGACACAGAGAGGUCCCAGAGCCAUGGAAAUUACUAUAUUUGAACCCAAAUCUGACUCCAAGGUCUAUAUUCUUCCUACUUUGCCAUGUUCCCUCAGUUUUUGUCAAGAAGGGAAAAGGGGCCACAAUGCAACACUUCUGACCUGUGAUUCUUGAAGGAAUUAGCUCCAAAGUAACCAGAGUACAGGCUGGCCAUUCUCACAUCAGAGUCCCCCAACAA